rnacentral:pre_miRNA from 2 species
AAUUUCAACUGAAAAAUUCAUCAACAACAAAGUUGUAUAACUCAUCAAUAUCUAUAACUUUUAUUUUGGUAAUUUGUUCAUCCGACAAAGUGAUUUGUAACAGUGUUCAUAAAAUAUACAUAUCUCUUAGAUAGUUUAUAAACUAUAAGAAAGAUAUGUAAAUUUUUUGAACAAUGUUACUAUUACUUUAUCGGAUGAAGAAAUGACCAAAAUAAAAGUUAUAGAUAUUGAUGAGUUAUACAACUUUUAUGUUGAUGACUUUUUCAGUUGAAAUC